GUGGCGGGGGGACAAAGAAACGGACGAGGACAUGUACAAAUCCUGCACCGUCUGGGUACGGAAGAGCCUGUAUUGGAAAUUCUGAAGACAAAGACAUUUGUAACAGGAAAGGCUGUCCAAACUGGUCGUCAUGGUCAUCAUGGGGGCGAUGUUCGGUCUAUGAUGGAAUUGGUAUGAAAAUAAGAACAAGAACAUGCUAUUCAGGCCUAGGAUGUAUAGGUAGUGCGACGGACAAAGACUUAUGUAAUACAAACAUGAAUCACCUAUCACCGUUUGGUCCUGUUCGUUUGGUUGACGGAAAAAGUUCUUAUGAAGGAAGAUUAGAAGUAUUCAAUAAUGGUACUUGGGGAACAGUAUGUGACGACGGCUUUAGCACACUGGCAGCUGUUGUUGUGUGUAAGAUGCUUUCCUUACCAAGGUAUUUGAUUUCCAAC